ACGAAGGGGGCUAGCGUUGCUCGGAAUUACUGGGCGUAAAGCGCACGUAGGCGGGUCGAUAAGUCGGGGGUGAAAUCCUGGAGCUCAACUCCAGAACUGCCUUCGAAACUGUCGGUCUUGAGUUCGGGAGAGGUGAGUGGAACUGCGAGUGUAGAGGUGAAAUUCGUAGAUAUUCGCAAGAACACCAGUGGCGAAGGCGGCUCACUGGCCCGAUACUGACGCUGAGGUGCGAAAGCGUGGGGAGCAAACAGG
rnacentral:rRNA from 1 species